rnacentral:rRNA from 1 species
UCGAACGGAAAGGCCCUGCUUUUGUGGGGUGCUCGAGUGGCGAACGGGUGAGUAAUACGUGAGUAACCUGCCCUUGACUUUGGGAUAACUUCAGGAAAGUGGGGCUAAUACCGGAUAGGAGCUCCUGCUGCAUGGUGGGGGUUGGAAAGUUUCGGCGGUUGGGGAUGGACUCGCGGCUUAUCCGCUUGUUGGUGGGGUAGUGGCUUACCAAGGCUUUGACGGGUAGCCGGCCUGAGAGGGUGACCGGCCACAUUGGGACUGAGAUACGGCCCAGACUCCUACGGGAGGCAGCAGUGGGGAAUAUUGCACAAUGGGCGGAAGCCUGAUGCAGCAACGCCGCGUGCGGGAUGACGGCCUUCGGGUUGUAAACCGCUUUCGCCUGUGACGAAGCGUGAGUGACGGUAAUGGGUAAAGAAGCACCGGCUAACUACGUGCCAGCAGCCGCGGUGAUACGUAGGGUGCGAGCGUUGUCCGGAUUUAUUGGGCGUAAAGGGCUCGUAGGUGGUUGAUCGCGUCGGAAGUGUAAUCUUGGGGCUUAACCCUGAGCGUGCUUUCGAUACGGGUUGACUUGAGGAAGGUAGGGGAGAAUGGAAUUCCUGGUGGAGCGGUGGAAUGCGCAGAUAUCAGGAGGAACACCAGUGGCGAAGGCGGUUCUCUGGGCCUUUCCUGACGCUGAGGAGCGAAAGCGUGGGGAGCGAACAGGCUUAGAUACCCUGGUAGUCCACGCUGUAAACGGUGGGUACUAGGUGUGGGGUCCAUUCCACGGGUUCCGUGCCGUAGCUAACGCUUUAAGUACCCCGCCUGGGGAGUACGGCCGCAAGGCUAAAACUCAAAGGAAUUGACGGGGCCCCGCACAAGCGGCGGAGCAUGCGGAUUAAUUCGAUGCAACGCGUAGAACCCUUACCUGGGUUUGACAUGGAUCGGGAGUGCUCAAANAUGGGGUGUGCCUCUUUUUGGGGGUCGGUUCAC